rnacentral:sRNA from 1 species
UUCCAGUGACUCUAAAUAGGUCCAAGAACUCACUAAAUAGGUUGUUGAAUUUUGAAUUCGGAAUUCCCUUUCGAAACUGUCACUAGCGAUGUGUCUGCUGUGGCUACAGGAAUCAAAGGCGAGUGAAAGUGUUUGCUAAGGCGCUUCUCGAGACGGCAUUGGAACGUGCAGGGUGAUGAGGAUUCAGGGGAUGAGGAGGAAAAUGGCAAAGGAGGAGGACCAAACGCGCUCUCUGUUAGGAUAAUUGGUGCCCUAAAUGCCAAAAAGUCUGCACUCACCACUCAUUAAUUAUAUGGUGAAAGUUUUUAUGCAACCUCAUUACUUGCAAAAUUUUGUUCAGUCAACAUUCAAUGCCCUGCCAUCAGAUCAAGUUAAGGGUUAUUCUCAAUCCUCAGAUAGUGAUUAUUUAACGACUUCUCCAAACUUGGCUACUCAGCUUUUCAAAUACAAAGCUGCGGAUGAAAGAGGAGCCAGAUGAGCUAAAAUCGGGGGCAAGAUUUGUGUGAACUGCAUGUUGCUUCUGUUUAUUAGGGAAACAAAACGUUUCAGUUUUGUCCUGUUAAUUGUACAAUGUCUGUUCAUGUCAGCUAAGUUGAAUGUAUAUAAAAACGAAGCUGCAUAUCUUAUCGACUCCGUUCACUCAUCUAUCCCUAUGUUUAGUCAUGAUUGUGUUGAAUUUAUUCAGGUAAAAUGUCUUAUUCAUGCAGUUAAGGUGAUGCAUUCAAGUCCCGCAGCAA